rnacentral:rRNA from 1 species
GACGAACGCUGGCGGCGUGCUUAACACAUGCAAGUCGAACGGAAAGGCCCUGCUUUUGUGGGGUGCUCGAGUGGCGAACGGGUGAGUAACACGUGAGUAACCUGCCCUUGACUUUGGGAUAACUUCAGGAAACUGGGGCUAAUACCGGAUAGGAGCUCCUGCUGCAUGGUGGGGGUUGGAAAGUUUCGGCGGUUGGGGAUGGACUCGCGGCUUAUCAGCUUGUUGGUGGGGUAGUGGCUUACCAAGGCUUUGACGGGUAGCCGGCCUGAGAGGGUGACCGGCCACAUUGGGACUGAGAUACGGCCUAGACUCCUACGGGAGGCAGCAGUGGGGAAUAUUGCACAAUGAGCGGAAGCCUGAUGCAGCAACGCCGCGUGCGGGAUGACGGCCUUCGGGUUGUAAACCGCUUUCGCCUGUGACGAAGCGUGAGUGACGGUAAUGGGUAAAGAAGCACCGGCUAACUACGUG